rnacentral:lncRNA from 1 species
CGCCGUAAAGCUACGCUUUUGCGCCUCGCCCCUUCACGACUUGUAGAGCUCUUUACGGCUCUGCGGAGGCCCUGCCGGAUUCUCUGGGCGAACAAGCUUCUAAAAUUCUACUGCUACGCACAGCCAAGAUGACAGCUCAGAUUCCCCAUCAGUUGCUCUUCUCCAAAGAGACACUGUUUUAAGCAUUUCUCCAUUUUCGAAUCCACUCAACAACCAAAUGAGACACCAAUUUGGAUGUCCAACAAUUCAAGUCAAUUCUGACACUGCCUGAAAUUGCAUCACAUUCCACAGAUAAAUGGGUUCAGUACCCACUUCAGAUGCCAAUUGCAAGUCCCAGGCCAUCGGUAAUUCUGACCAACCAACUACAAAUGCAAUUACCUGGCCAACAGCCUGAAUUCGGAACUAAUUCAGAGACUUUACAGAAAGCAUACAGAACUGCUGUCAAUGUAAUACUUUCGUUCAGUUUUGAGAUGAGGAAGUUUUUGUACUUCAAUCACUGGAAGUUGAUUAGGUUCCUGGGUGUGAAAAAGAAAUGUUGCCUUAUGCCAGCUGCCAUCUUGAAUCUGUAAAAUAAGAACAAAAUGCUUUCAUACGCAUUUCAUUAGCAGUCACUUUCAGUAGACAAUGCCUUUCACAGAUAAUGUGAACUUGUUUUAAGGAUUAGAGAUAACGAAUAGAAAGUGCCUAGAACAAUGCUCAAUAAAUGGUAAAAUUACUAUUAUUAGUUGAAAACCUGGACUUAUUCCUUUCUCUAGAAUGGCACUGUCUGUUCUAAUUUUUCACUUCCAGAGGCUAAGGCCAGGCUUCUGCUUCAACUGUCUGUGAAUUAUUGGACCAGAUAUGAAUUAAAAGGCUGCAAUACUCCUAAUAUGAGUAAUAACCAUCUGUUCUGUAUUCCUUUAUUUGGGACUGAUACCUCAGGAUGGAUAUUUUUCUUUGAUAAAAGGGAACGAGCUAUUUCAACCUCUGUAUUUUAGGUAGAAAAUAAACAGAAUCACCUCAGUCAGAAAUAGUUAAAAUUAUAAUUAUGUGCAAUCAUCUUUUAGGUCUCUUCCCCCCCGCCCCAUUCUGUAGCUCUCUAUUUAUACAGUUUCCCUCUUUCUUCUCUUUUGUGUCUAAUAAACU